AGUGAACGCUGGCGGUAGGCCUAACACAUGCAAGUCGAACGGCAGCACAGUAAGAGCUUGCUCUUACGGGUGGCGAGUGGCGGACGGGUGAGGAAUACAUCGGAAUCUACUUUUUAGUGGGGGAUAACGUAGGGAAACUUACGCUAAUACCGCAUACGACCUACGGGUGAAAGCAGGGGAUCUUCGGACCUUGCGCGAUUGAAUGAGCCGAUGUCGGAUUAGCUAGUUGGCGGGGUAAAGGCCCACCAAGGCGACGAUCCGUAGCUGGUCUGAGAGGAUGAUCAGCCACACUGGAACUUAGACACGGUCCAGACUCCUACGGGAGGCAGCAGUGGGGAAUAUUGGACAAUGGGCGCAAGCCUGAUCCAGCCAUACCGCGUGGGUGAAGAAGGCCUUCGGGUUGUAGAGCCCUUUUGUUGGGAAAGAAAAGCAGCAGGUUAAUACCCCGCUGUUCUGACGGUACCCAAAGAAUAAGCACCGGCUAACUUCGUG
rnacentral:rRNA from 1 species